UGCCACCGCUUAAUUUUGCUCAGCUUUACCAUAACAUCAUAAUUUUGCUCUGUUUCACCCUCUUACUUUCUGCAAAAUUCACCCAUCUUCUCCUUCUUCGUCCCUUAACCCUUGUGGAUUUUACGUUACUUUUUGCUUUCAUAAAUGAAUACCAAUUUCUGGAAUAUAAAGUGAUAUUUUGACAGAAAAUUGAGGUUUUUGCUGAGUUUUUCUCAAUUUCACAUUUGCUCCACUAUGAUAAUCACAUGGUCGAAAGGCUAAGCUUAGUAGAGCUGAGAAGAAUGUGAAAGAUGGAGCAUGUCUGUUGACUUAAUGAAAAAACAGAGUAAAAAGCUGAUUGAAAGAGCGCGGCUCUCCAUGAAAAGGAUAUGAAUUGUGGCAUGUCCGAGCUUCAAUGCUUAUUUGCUUCAUUCAUAUACUCAAAGCGUAACAUCAUAUAUAAUCUCUCUAAUAUUCCUUUUUCAACAGUUUCAGUACCCUUCUGCUUACUCUUGACGGGUUGCUUCACUUGAAGAUACACAUUUUUCAAAUUUAUUAUGGGAAAUUUGUUGAUUCUUUUUAUGUCCUCUUUUGCAGAUAUUGUAGCAUCCUACCAUUUUGUAUAAUACAUCGAAAAGUUUGCUAGUUAUGAUAGUCCAAUUUCUUAUCUAUA